rnacentral:rRNA from 1 species
UACAGAGGGGCAAGCGUUGUUCGGAAUUACUGGGCGUAAAGGGCGCGUAGGCGGCCCGCUAAGUCGAACGUGAAAUCCCCGAGCUCAACUCGGGAACUGCGUCCGAUACUGGCGGGCUUGAAUCCGGGAGAGGGAUGCGGAAUUCCAGGUGUAGCGGUGAAAUGCGUAGAUAUCUGGAGGAACACCGGUGGCGAAGGCGGCAUCCUGGACCGGCAUUGACGCUGAGGCGCGAAAGCUAGGGGAGCAAAGCGGG